rnacentral:lncRNA from 1 species
AAUUCACCAAAGUUGUGGCCACUGGAGAGAGAAGAAAUGAAACUGACAGGGAGAGCCAGAUGGGACUAGAAUUUUAUCUGAAAUGUUUGAUUUGUUUGUCAGAAAAAGACCUUAAAGCAACAGUAACCAACUGUUAACAAUUAUCCAUUAUUGGUGCUGAGUCCAUGGAUGUUUGUUUUAUAAUUCAUUUCAAUUUUUUGUUAUGUUUCAAAAACUUAAAUACAGUCCCAGGAGAAGAAGAGCUACUUCAGAAGUCCUAUCUGAUUGAUGGGUAAGGGUGGGGAUGCAGGUGAGAGUUUGCCCGCUUCUUCCCUUUGAAUGGCCCUGGAAUAAACUAAGCUCCAGUUCAUGGGAAAGAAAAGUAACACAAUAAAUCCAAGUGAUAGGCAAUUAUAGCACUGCAACCCUCAUAGGAACCAGUAGUAUAAUUUUUUUUUUUUGCUAAAAAUCAGAUACAAAAUAUUAAGCAAAAGAAAAUUCCACAUGUGUGUAUUCAAAUUCAUUUAAUUAAACUUUCAGCAAACAUUGCCAAGUACCUUCCCCUGUGGCUGGCAGUGUGCUAGGUGGAAAGAAUACAUAAAUAAGACACUUCCUUGGGAUAAAGCACCAAACCUGCAUUUUAACUGAUCAUAGACUCUGACCUCCCAGUUUCUCCCCUGAGUCCACUUUUGUAAGUAUUCCCCACAAAAAAAUCCAGAGAAUUGGGUAGUAUUCUCUUCAAUCAACAAAUUCCUACAUUGAGAGUAAGCUGGUCCAAGGUCAUUGCCAAUUAGUAAAUGGCAAUGUUUAUUCUCAUACUCAGAUUUCUGACAGGAGAUUCCACGUUGCUAGAGCAGACAUUGGAUAUUCGAAAAGAAGUGAGAUUAAUGCUCUUUUGAUGUGUACAGUGUUCUGUAAAAAGCCCAACUUUCCAACCUUUCCUUUUGUCCCUGAAACUGAGAAAUAAAACUAUCAGUGGAACUAAAAGUCUUUGAAUGGCAGGCCUGCCUACCAUUUAACUUCUGUUCCCACUGGGUAGGAACCAUGCCAUCGAGUGGUUUGCUCUGUGCUGAGGGCGUGGAUGCUCAGGUGCUCAGAUGCCCUGGAGGCUCGCCUUGCACCUGCCAGUGAUGAGUCAUCAUCAGGGAGGUCUGUGCACACCUAACUGGCUUUUCUUCUUUCCGAGGACACCCCACUUCCACCAUGCAGAGUCCAAGGAGCAAGAUGCUGCAGGAUGUAGAACAGAGGCCUUAGACUCUCGAUGGCAUGGUUUCAUUCAGCUUCCUUUAUGACUUAGCAAGAAUGACCUUUCCAAUCCUUAAACCUCAUGGAUUGAAAAUGGUGCCAGUUCUGAGAUCACCAAAAUAGGCCCAAAUGAACAGACUAUUCUGGAUAACAAAGUAUUGUUGCAGGUUUUCAGUUGUGGUCUCUUGAUCCUCAAGGCAGUCCUGUGAUGCACAAAGAAAAACUCCUCAAACCUCAUUUUAUUAGGGGAGACUUGGAGAUGUUACAGGACACUCUAGUAAGUGCUCUCUGGUCAUCAGAGGUAUUUUUAGGCUGAAGAGCACACAUGGGCCUUAAUAGACCAUCCACCAACUAUCAUACUAGUAUCUGAUAAGAGUCUUCCAAAACUGCUUUGUGGUUUUGCCAGUUUCCUGAGUCCGGAAUGGUCAGCCUGACCCCUGCAGGCCCCAUGCAAACACUCUGUCCAAGAAUGAUACCUGGUCAGUAUGCAGGGGUAGCCACUGGAAGACCAAGGACCUCGGUCAGGUACUUUUUCUUAAUAGUAAUGCCCAGGAGUUCCUGCUGUGGCGCAGCGGAAUUGAAUCUGACUGGUAUCCAUGAAGAUGCAGGUUCAAUCCCUGGCCUUGCUCAGUGGGUCAGGAAUCUGGGAUUGCUGUGAGCUGUGGUGUAGGUCAUAGACAUGGCUCGGAUCCUGCGUUGCCGUGGCUGUGGCUGUGGCUGUGGUGUAGGCUGGCAGCUAUAGUUUCAAUUUGCCCCCUAGCCUGGAAACUUCCACAUGCCAUGGGUGUUGCCCUAAAAAAAGAAAUAAUAAUAAUAAUAAUACCCAAAGAGGUUCUUUCAACUCAGGACAGCGCAGAAGCAACUAAAAGAGCCAUUGUGAACAGAUGCAGCCACAAUGUGGAAUGAGUUCUGUCUCUGUCACUCAUAACUGAUGUGGGCACCCAGGCAUGCUCUCACCUCCGCAUGACACUCGGGUGCACACAGCCAGGCACAGGUGCAGCAUGCUGUGGGUGGCCCCUCUCUGCUUGGCCUUUCAACCCCACUCAGAUGCUCACCUUAUUCCAUACCUUCUCUCAGUGGCCUUCUCUGUGGAAGUACCAUGCUGGGUGGCACUGGCUUCCCUUACCGCUCUCCUAGUCUAAACCCCACCAUGCUCCGAUGUCAGCCUCCAUAUCCUGCCUCAGGGAGGCCUUCCAGCCCCUCCCCCUCUAGAUGCCCUUGAUCCCCACAGACUCCCACAGAGCCCACCUUCCUCCUUUUGUGACGUGUGAUGUGUCAGAUGUGUCAAUGUUGUCAUUGUCCCUGCUGGAGGAGAAGCCACAGGCCUGGGAGACCCCAGGAGUUCCUCAAGUGCAUAAGCUGAUAUUAAUAUUUUCACAAAGGUUCAAGUCCUGCACCCAGGGAAGUCCCACCACCCUCCUGCCCCACGACCAUAUCAGGCAAGGACUGUGCUCAUCCUGUCUUCAAUGCAUGGCGAAUUCAAGCUGGUACCCUCCUACUGUAUCUCACUGAUGUUGGCCAGAGUUAGGGUGACUUGUCUGGCUUUCCACUGUCCCCUGGCCUCUCAAUCCCACAUUCUGAUAGAAAAUUCUUUUCUCUGGCUUCACCACUAACCUUGUUUCUAAAUGACUAUGCUGUCUAUUUUUCUAUUUUUAUGUGACAUCCCACCACCUCCUUCUCCCUGGACCUUGGUUUCCCCAUCUGUCCAGUAAGAUAUUUGGAAAAUAAACAUCUCUAAAGUCCUUCAAGAUCCUUGGAUAUUCUGAAUCUAUGAAACAUCCCCUUAGUGGGUUGAGUAGCCCAAAGAAACAUCCCCUUACUUUAAGUGGUUAUCAUCUAAAAGCCAUGUAAGCAGCUUCAAUAAAUGCUAUUUACUAUACGCCAAAAAGUCCACUGCCCUGCUUGUUUUUCCCCUUUUAACCCACUCCAGGUGGUUGAACCUCCAACCCCGUGGGCCAUAGAGAAGAUUACUGCUCCUGUGGAGAUCCAAUACACAUUACUUGAUAAAAGCCAUACACAGGAAAGUUAGUGGUGAUUAGAAUCUAUUUGCCUUCACUUCAUCUUAUUACAGAUUAUGCUUGUAUAUUAACUUCAUAAUUCUCUGAUUACCAAGGAGUUCGACUGAGGUCCUGGGUCUCUUUAGUCCUCUUAGCCUUGUCCAGCUGAGCUCGUGCUGGACUGAACCAUCAUCACAGUAUUUCUCAGUUGGCGGCGGAAGUGAAAUGAUUCAUUCUGGGAACCUUGUCUCUGUUGCAGUAAACUAUUUGCAUACCGUGUGGAUUUGCACAGACCUAGCCUGUGGGAGGUCCUGGAAGCAGUUCGCUUUCACCCCCUUUCCUCUUGCAUCUGAGAAAUGACUGUCAAUUAUUCAGUAAGUGGUCCCCUCCGAGGGUUUUACAUCACUUCCUCAUGAAACAGACUUUAAUUUAGACAUUUUGAGACACAGUGUGGCACAGUGAUGGCAUACACAUCCUUGCGACAAGGGGGCUACGUUUCAGGCUGGUGGUUGACUUCGGAAGAGUUCCCUGAACUUUCUAAGCCUCCGCUUACUUAUCUGUAAAAUGGGAAUAACAACAAUGCCCGCCCGACAGGAUUGUUAUGAGAAUAAAGUGAAAUAUAUAAAUUGUAUAGCAUUUAGGAAGCAUUCAAUAUAUGUUAGUUUUCAUUAUUGUUAAUAUUAGUUAGUAUCUCCCGGGGGAAUAAUGGAAUGGCCGAGAGGCGGCAGAGUUUAUUUUGUGAAUAAGGAAAUGAAGCUACAGGAGCAGAGGUGACUUCAUACCCUCCAUAAACCCUGAUCAAGUACUCACCACAGGCCAGUCCCUCCAUAG